rnacentral:rRNA from 1 species
GACGAACGCGGCGGCGUGCUUAACACAUGCAAGUCGAACGGGUCUGCCUUGUUUUUUGCGGGGUGGGUUAGUGGCGAACGGGUGAGUAACACGUGAGUAACCUGCCCCUCACUUCUGGAUAACCGCUUGAAAGGGUGGCUAAUACGGGGUGUUCUGGCUGUGCCGCAUGGUGUGGCUGGGAAAGAUUCACUUUUGUGGUGUUUUGGUGGGGGAUGGGCUCGCGGCCUAUCAGCUUGUUGGUGGGGUGAUGGCCUGCCAAGGCUUUGACGGGUAGCCGGCCUGAGAGGGUGGGCGGUCACACUGGGACUGAGAUACGGCCCAGACUCCUGCGGGAGGCAGCAGUGGGGGGUAUUGCACAAUGGGCGGAAGCCUGAUGCAGCGACGUCGCGUGAGGGAUGGAGGCCUUCGGGUUGUGAACCUCUUUCGCCGGUGAAGAAGGUCCUGUUCUUUGUGGUGGGGCUGACGUAGCCGGG